rnacentral:rRNA from 1 species
CCUACGGGUGGCAGCAGUAGGGAAUAUUGCUCAAUGGGGGAAACCCUGAAGCAGCAACGCCGCGUGGAGGAUGAAGGUUUUCGGAUUGUAAACUCCUUUUGUUAGAGAAGAUAAUGACGGUAUCUAACGAAUAAGCACCGGCUAACUCCGUGCCAGCAGCCGCGGUAAUACGGAGGGUGCAAGCGUUACUCGGAAUCACUGGGCGUAAAGAGCGCGUAGGCGGGAUAGCAAGUCAGAUGUGAAAUCCUAUGGCUUAACCAUAGAACUGCAGUUGAAACUGUUAUUCUAGAGUAUGGGAGAGGUAGGUGGAAUGCUUGGUGUAGGGGUAAAAUGCGUAGAGAUCAAGAGGAAUACUCAUUGCGAAGGCGACCUGCUAGAACAUAACUGACGCUGAUGUGCGAAAGCGUGGGGAGCAAACAGGAUUAGAUACCCGGGUAGUC